UCUAAUUUAGAUCCAUGGUGCAGUUGCUCAUUCAAUGCUACAUACUCAUCCCCACAACUUUCAUCUCACGUUCAAAAGAUGAAAGUUAUAGAGAUGAGUAUGGUGCAUUGGAUGUGUGGCCAUACCAUGGGUGAUGUUAGA